GCUCUGCAAGGCUGGUUUGUAUUUGAGAGGCGUGCUCCUGGGCGAGCCGUUUGCCGUCUCUAGGAGUGGGCUGAGCCAGGCAGGGGCCCAGAACGCAGAAAAUAAGAUACAUGGUUAAAUCAAUGAAGAAUGCCUAAAAACCAAUAAGAAACAGCCCACUGGCCAGAGACUCAGCUACAACUUCCUAGGAGAGGAAACCCAACACGGGGAAUAAGAACAGAACUACAAGACACUGUCUCUGGUCGGCUGGAUUGGCAAACAUCAGAAAGUCAGCAUUGCCGAGGAUGGGAAGAACCCGAGCUCCUGCUCACCACUGUCUGAACGGUCACUCAGUGCCACCACCUUGGAAAAUAAAUCAGCAUUUUUCUUGUAAAGUUAAAGAUAUGUGUUCCCUUCAACCAAGCACACGCACUCACAGCUACGACACACGAAGGCGCCGUGUUCUGCCUUCCCAUUGCUGUUGAGGGGCCCGCGGAGGGCCCGUCUGUCACCUGGACUUCAGUGCUGCCUUGCUCCCCGGCUGCUUCCAAGAUACUCUCCUCGGCCAUAACCAUUCCUGAUGCUCCGUAAUUGAUAAUUUGGAUUCUUGAAACCAUGAGCCACACUAAUGGCUGAAGCUGCUCACAUUCGCCCCAUCUUCGUGUUUUCACGGGCGUGUGAGCAUCACAUCGCAAACCUCCACAAACCCCAGCGCCUGCCUUUUUUUGCUUUCUACGGCAUAGGGGACAGCACAGCAAAUGACCUCUGGUCACUGUGGUGACGAGGACUCCCGCCCCGGCUUCUGCUGCUUCUGACCGGCCCCGGGGCCCGCCUGUGUGGCCCUGCGAGGCAACCGCACCUCAUACGUCUUCUUUCAAGGCGGGGGUCUCUGUGUCUGUCAUCUUAACAUGCCCGAUUAAAGCAAAAUCCGGGUAUGUUUUAAUUCA